rnacentral:rRNA from 1 species
GACGAACGCUGGCGGCGUGCCUAAUACAUGCAAGUCGAGCGCAGGAAGCCGUCUGAACCCUUCGGGGGGACGACGAUGGAAUGAGCGGCGGACGGGUGAGUAACACGUAAAGAACCUGCCCAUAGGUCUGGGAUAACCACGAGAAAUCGGGGCUAAUACCGGAUGUGUCAUCGGACCGCAUGGUCCGCUGAUGAAAGGCGCUCCGGCGUCGCCCAUGGAUGGCUUUGCGGUGCAUUAGCUAGUUGGUGGGGUAACGGCCCACCAAGGCGACGAUGCAUAGCCGACCUGAGAGGGUGAUCGGCCACACUGGGACUGAGACACGGCCCAGACUCCUACGGGAGGCAGCAGUAGGGAAUCUUCCACAAUGGACGAAAGUCUGAUGGAGCAACGCCGCGUGAACGAUGAAGGCUUUCGGGUCGUAAAGUUCUGUUGUAAGGGAAGAACAAGUGCCGCAGGCAAUGGCGGCACCUUGACGGUACCUUGCGAGAAAGCCACGGCUAACUACGUGCCAGCAGCCGCGGUAA